GUGAGCGUAGCUCAGCCGGUAGAGCAUCGGUCUGUGGCACCGAGGGUCGCGGGUUCAAACCCCGCCGCUCACCCCA
rnacentral:tRNA from 1 species